GCACUCUGCGGUCGCGACGUCUCUCGCACCGACCGAUCUCUCGUCAGCCGUCCGCAUCGGCGGGCGGUGAUUCACGCGCACGUCUAGACGAAGUUGUUUCCCGGAAAAGGUAAUAGACACGUGCGGUUUGCUCGCGUAUCACGCAAUCGAGUCGAAGGCCUCGCGCCUCAACGAGCGCGCGCGCUCUAUCGCGAGACGUUACGUCAACGUGAGCGCUCGCUCGCUCGCUCGCUCGUUUCGUAACGUCAUCGCCGCCAUGCACGCACGUGCACACAAUUCCGUGAGCCGCGCGGAUUCUCUCUCUCCUGUGACAUAUGGUCGCCGUUCGCGGAUCUCUCCAGACGUUCCACCGAGGUGUCGAUAACCCGCGACGACCGCCGGAGGCUGGGAAGUAGUAACUGGAUGACGACAGUGAUCCUGCAGCAGGAGGCAGCGCUGUAACGGCGGCGGCGGCGGCUCCUCGCGACGAUGACGGUGGCGAUGAUGACGAUGCCGAUGGUGGUGGAGGAUCGAGGCGGAAGCGGAGGCAGAGCCGGGAGGGACCGGCUCGUGCACCAGCAGCCGACGAUGAUGGAGAUGACGCGAUAUCGUCGCCAGGACACCCACCAGUGCUCCGACUAUCAGCACGAGCGCCGUCGAGACGAUGUAGCCACUCGCACCCACUGCAAACGAAAAUCGGACUCGUCAACGAUGCACUUCCUCCACACGAUGGAAAAUCUCCCAAUACAUCACUGUAAAACUCGCACAAUUCGCACAAUUCGGAAUUGUCGCGAUAUUUUAGCGAAACACUAGUAUGAAAUUGUCAUUAAUGAAAGAAUAAUAUUCUUAACCUUAUACAACUCUAAGAGUGUCAGAUCAAAGAUUGUUUUGACAUAAGUCUCUCCGAGUUUCGAGCGAUAAUUCGAUAUUACACACAGAAAAAUAUUUUGUUGCUGAGAAAAGCGAUCAGUUUAUUCUUUUCCUUUUCAGUUAUAAUUAUCUUCAGUAAGGAAUAUUUUCUCUGUCUUGAUAGUAGUCGUAGAAUAUAUUCAUCAUAAAUUUAAGAAAAGCUCCAUCAUGCACUGGAAAGAAGAAUUGAUUCUUUUUAUGAGAAUACUGAAAACUUUUUUGAAGAAAAAAUCGACGCUUCGACUCUGUGUAGUGUACAAAGAGAAUUUUAUAAUAAAUAUUACCAUACAGUGA